AACGAACGCUGGCGGCAUGCCUAACACAUGCAAGUCGAACGAGACCUUCGGGUCUAGUGGCGCACGGGUGCGUAACGCGUGGGAACCUGCCCUUAGGUUCGGAAUAACUCCCCGAAAGGGGUGCUAAUACCGGAUAAUGUCUUCGGACCAAAGAUUUAUCGCCUUUGGAUGGGCCCGCGUUGGAUUAGCUAGUUGGUAGGGUAAAAGCCUACCAAGGCGACGAUCCAUAGCUGGUCUGAGAGGAUGAUCAGCCACACUGGGACUGAGACACGGCCCAGACUCCUACGGGAGGAAGAAGUGGGGAAUAUUGGACAAUGGGCGAAAGCCUGAUCCAGCAAUGCCGCGUGAGUGAUGAAGGCCUUAGGGUUGUAAAACUCUUUUACCCGGGAUGAUAAUGACAGUACCGGGAGAAUAAGCUCCGGCUAACUCCGUG
rnacentral:rRNA from 1 species